GACGAACGCUGGCGGCGUGCUUAACACAUGCAAGUCGAACGAAGUGGCGAACGGGUGAGUAACGCGUAAUCAACCUGCCCUUCAGAGGGGGACAACAGUUGGAAACGACUGCUAAUACCGCAUACUGAAGGCGGGGAUUGCGUCUGAUUAGCUAGGUGGAGGGGUAACGGCCCACCAAGGCGAUGAUCAGUAGCCGGUCUGGAAGGAUGAACGGCCACAUUGGGACUGAGACACGGCCCAAGCUCCUACGGGAGUCAGCAGUGGGGAAUCUUCCGCAAUGGACGAAAGUCUGACGGAGCAACGCCGCGUGAGUGAUAACGGCCUUCGGGUUGUAAAGCUCUGUUAAUCGGGACGCGGUACCGGAAUAGAAAGCCACGGCUAACUACGUGCCAGCAGCCGCGGUAAUAC
rnacentral:rRNA from 1 species